GUGGGGGAUAUUGCACAAUGGGGGAAACCCUGAUGCAGCGACGCCGCGUGAAGGAAGACGUACUUCGGUAUGUAAACUUCUAUCAGCAGGGAAGAAGAUGACGGUACCUGACUAAGAAGCCCCGGCUAACUACGUGCCAGCAGCCGCGGUAAUACGUAGGGGGCAAGCGUUAUCCGGAUUUACUGGGUGUAAAGGGAGCGUAGACGGUGAAGCAAGUCUGAUGUGAAAACCCGGGGCUCAACUCCGGGAUUGCAUUGGAAACUGUUUUACUUGAGUGCUGGAGGGGCAAGCGGAAUUCCUGGUGUAGCGGUGAAAUGCGUAGAUAUCAGGAAGAACACCGGUGGCGAAGGCGGCUUGCUGGACAGUAACUGACGUUGAGGCUCGAAAGCGUGGGGAGCAAACAGGAUUAGAUACCCCAGUAGUCC
rnacentral:rRNA from 1 species